rnacentral:lncRNA from 10 species
GGAGAAUCCCUUGAACCUGGGAGGUGGAGGUUGCAGUGAGCCGAGAUCGUGUCAUUCCACUCCAACCUGGGCCACAGAGUGAGACUCCGUCUCAAAAAACAAAACAAAACAAAACAAACAACCUAUAUUCAAAUGCAAAGGAAAGAGGGAAAGACUUUUAAAAAGAAAAAAAAAGACCAACAUAUAAUAAAUUACGAAUGUCAUAUGGCAGCAAGCUCUUCAUGUUACUUUCCUUUCCAUUUAGACCCAGUUAAUGUAUCUAUAUUACGUAUGUUUAAUGUGUAUGGACACACACACACACACACACACACACACACACCAUAAAAGAUUAAGAAGUAUGCCUAAAUUUUAAGUGGUAUGAUUUAUAUUUUUUUCAUACUUUUAUUUUCUAAAUUUUCCAGUUAUUACUCUUAGAAAGUUAGAAAGUUAGAGACCAAAAAAACCAAUUCCCUUAUAAUUAUAUAUAUAUAAUGAUUCCCCAAAGCCUCUUAUUUUGAGUUCUUUCUUUGUAUUCAUUUUCAGGCAAUAUUUAUUGAGUGUCUAGUCUGUGCCUGAAAUGUAUUUUAUAUGAACUUCUCUUAUAACAAGAUGUUCUUAUGUCUUAUUUAUAUUCUCAUAGUCUCCCCUGAACCUGAUUAUAAACAGCAUUUUUCUUUUUCUUGUUUUUUCUUUUUCAAUCAUUUGUUGAAUAUCACCCAUGUGUUGGUCACUCUUUUAGGAAGGCAUUAAAAAGAAAUGUGACAGAAAGUUAGCACUGUCCCUAUUGCAGGGGAGAGAUAAGCAUGUAAAUACCAAAACCGGGCCAAGAAGCUUGAUAUAGAAAUGUGCACCAUGCUACCCCACUCAAAGGAGAGAAAGAACUAACUAUCAGAGAGAACUGGGGAGAAACUUUUCUACAGAGGUGACAUUUCAACUAGGCCUUGAAUGACAGGUCAAAUGAUCUUAGAUGAAAAGGGAGGAGGGGGCUGGUGAGAAGGAAGAGGCUGGCAGGGGAGGAGGAGGCUGGCAGAAGAGGGGGAGACUGGCAGGGAAGAGGGGGGUGGCAGGACAGAAGGUUGGCAGGGAGGAGGAAGCUGACAGGAGAGGAGGAGGUUGGUAGGGAGAAAGAGGCUGGCAGGAAGGAGGAGGCUUGCAGGGAGCAGGAGGCUGGCAGGAGAGGAGGAGGUUGGCAGGGAGAAAGAGGCUGGCAGGAAGGAGGAGACUUGCAGGGAGGAGGAGGCUGGCAGGAGAGGAGGAGGUUGGCAGGGAGGAGGAGGCUGGCAGGAGAGGAGGAGGUUGGCAGGGAGGAGGAGGUUGGCAGGGAGGAGGCGGCUUGCAGAUGAGAAGGCUGGCAGGCAAGCGCUGCGGGCGACCGUGGGUGGUGGGCGGGUUUUCCCCUCAGGCAGGUGCAGGUCCUAAGGGGGCGGGCCCCGUUGGGUGCUCAUGACGCAAAGGUCCCUAGGAUUUGCUCCUCACAGCGGGAGCGCCCUCGAGAGGAACCGCGUCUGCGCCUCCCGAGACGGACCACUCGGGCGCCUCCGCCCCGCGCCCUGCCUCGGGGGCCGCCCCGCGCAGUGAGCUCAGCGUGGAGGCGGCAGCGCCCUCGCCCUUCCGCGCCCUCCCAGCGCGGUCUCUCCUCGUCCGCGCGCCCCGCUCCCCAGGCGUUUCUGGGAUGCUGGUUGGCCGGGCACUUACGUGUUUCAAAGCGGGUGACAGCCGCCGCUCGGGUGUACUGUUCGCUCUCUCCCGCCAGGAUCCGAGUUCUUGUUCCCCGACAACUCGUGGGAGUGCCCGCUCCAGCGUGGUUUCUCCUUCUCCGGGAACGGCCCCAGUGAGCAGAAGAGCUGGGUCUGGAUUGCAUGGCUCUGUCUCCCAGCCAUGGUUGACUAAUUUAGGGACACUCAUGGCUCUGGACUCCUGCAGCCAGCCAGACGCCUGUCUUUGGAUUUUUGACUUGGAUGAGAGCCCUGUAGCUGGAGGUUGUGGUUGAGAGGGGAGUUUAGUCACAUGAUGGCAGUGCCUACAGAGAUCUGGGUAGGAGGUUCUGCUGCUGUGGCCCCCUCGGUGAUGCUGUGCUCAGAGGCCCCUGAGGGUGAUGUGAGAUGGGGAGGGAGCUGAGGGAUGUAGGUAGUCAGUGACUGCUGAAAGAAGAGGAAUGUUAGCAUUUCUGGGUUAGGUGGUUGCUUCUGAUGGCACUGAGACAGGCAAAUCCCCAAAUUACUGAUCUAGACAAAAUGGUCUUAGUCAGAACGAUUUUGUGACUCUUCUGAAUGAAGCUCUCAUUGCCCGUGGCCAAACGCUGAGAUGAAAAUGCAGUUCAGAACCGAUUUUGUGGAUUUCUUAAGUCGAAUACCAGUUGAGCUCACAGCUCAAGCAGAUUUCUUUGAUGAACAUCAAAGUUGCAGAUUGUGUUUCCAAAGAUGACUACAACAAUCCCC